UAAGGACCCAAGUAGAUGCCAAGAGACUUGCCACCGUGUAGCCUCUGGCUGGGCCCUGCCGGUCAUCUCAACAGGGGAGGAUUUUGCCUUCUCUAUCCUUCCCCCGUUGAUCCUCAAAGUUGAGCAAUUGGGACUCUCCUUAUUUCCCUCAAAAGGAGUUUGGUAGCUGAACAUACUGGCAUACCACGAAGGAAGAAACAUUGUGUGACUUACUGACCUCCAAAGUGUGCUGCAGACUCUAGAAGCCACCAAACCUGAGAUGAAAGGGAACAAAACAGGGAAGGAGAUGAAAAUUCCUGAAGACCAAGGGAUGCUGGCAAAGAAGCCUCUGAAAGGAAUCUCAUACGGAUGGAGGCAGAUUAAACUUGAGACAGAAGAGCCUUGAACGUCAGCUGCAAAAGACACCAUACUUGUGGUGGACCCUUGAACUGGAAUCUGGAAUCACAUCAAGCCUUUCUCUAGUCAGGUUUGCCUGUCCUCAGUAGUGGCCUAUUUGCCAUGACACCUUUGUUUUCACAGUCUGAGUUUGCUGGUGAGUGAAUACUGUGAAGAAUUUGGUGGAAGAUUACAGGGAAGAGAGUCCAUCCUACUUUUGGCAAACUUGGCGUCAGCCCUGUUUGGAAAACUGAAGCACAUAUUUGAAUGUGGAAGGCAGAACUGAAGAACAUUCUUGAAGAACACUAUCUAGAAUCCCACAGAUCAACACUAGCAUUUUUCUCACACUGACAGUCAUCUGCUCUUGGUGUAUACUGUUUUCAAGGAUGCUGUGCCUUCCUUCCUAGCAUAUCCCAUGUUCUUUCCUUAGACUGUAUUGUUCCUGAGGAGAAGUCACAGUGCCCAACUUCCCUGCAGCUCCUUGCUCAAAACCAAAAAAAAAAAAAUUAUUAAGCAACAAAUGAUAUUAACAAUUUUCUACCUGAGGUCUGCCAUAGUACAUUGUUUGAUUUGGUUCUUUGUUUUGGAGGUCUUUGCUGUAAACUUGGGUAAUUCAGCUCUCUGCCACAAAGGCAAAGAAAUAUGAUUUGGGUUUCUUCCUAAUGAUCUCAAAUUGAACCCCACAAUAAUCCCCAACUGAACUACUGGUUGUGUGAACUUUUCCUGGGAACAUAUACAAACAUCUAUUCACCCCAGAUAUGACACAAAGAACACAAGAAACAAUUCCAGCCAAAAUUAGAUUGGUGAACUGAUAUUCUUAAUAUCAGCACAGGUGAUAGUUUACAUACAGGUUAUUUAAAGGUAAAGGUGCAAUUUAAAAGUACUUGAGAAGCUACACCACUCAAGAAAAUGUCUUUUUCUCUAGGUGACUUUAACUUCCUAUAUAUCUUCAGGGAAUGUGGGGAGGACUUAGGAGUCCCCUCUUCUCCACUGUAAAUCUGUCUAAGGUAUCAGUUAGCUUAUCUCCAGUAGAGUUAGAGCCCAGCGGUGGUGUCGCACUCCUUUAAUCCCAGCACUUGGGAGGCAGAGGCAGGCAGAUUUCUGAGUUCAAGGCCAGCCUGGUCUACAGAGUGAGUUCCAGGACAGCCAGGGCUACACAGAGAAACCCUAUCUCGAAAAAGGAAAAAAACAACAACAACAAAAAGUAGAGUUAGAAUAAAGUACACUCUUCAAUGCUAUAUAGUACCUUAAACUGGUUCCUGAAAGCACAUUAAUGGAAAAAAAUAAUGCUGAAAUUAGAAUAAAUUCUAGAGUUCAGAAUACUAUAUCGACAUUAGUUUUGAAAAACACACAGCAGAUAAAAGCUUGGGGAGUGUAUGCGGAUUCACCAUACUGUCUUGACAACUUUUCUGCAGAGUAAAAAUGAUUUUUUUUCUCUGCCAUUCUCUGCAACUCUUCCAUCUGGGGAUUAGCUCAUUCCAGAGAGCCACAGAUGAUCCCAGAAGGGUAUCCACUUGUCAUGCAUCUGGAAGCAUGGAGUUUUGCAAGUGUCAAUUUUGGGGGCUUGGGAAAUGGCUCAGUUAGAGUAGCUGCUAUGCAAGUGUGAGGAUCUGAAUUUGAAUCUCUAGCACCUACAUUUAAAAAGCCAGGCAUAGCCACCCAUGGGGUAUAAUCCCAGCCCAGUGGGAGCAGAAGAAUGGGGCUUGAUGGUGGUCAUUCUGGCUCCAGGUUUGUUGAGGGGUCCUGUCUUUUAAGAUGAGACCUGACAGUCAUCCUCCUUUGGCUUCCAAACAGGCUUAGAUGUGCCCAUAACCACACAAACUCACAUACACACGUACAAUGGGGGG